GACGAACGCUGGCGGCGUGCCUAAUACAUGCAAGUUGAGCGCUGAAGGUUGGUACUUGUACCAACUGGAUGAGCAGCGAACGGGUGAGUAACGCGUGGGGAAUCUGCCUUUGAGCGGGGGACAACAUUUGGAAACGAAUGCUAAUACCGCAUAAAAACUUUAAACACAAGUUUUAAGUUUGAAAGAUGCAAUUGCAUCACUCAAAGAUGAUCCCGCGUUGUAUUAGCUAGUUGGUGAGGUAAAGGCUCACCAAGGCGAUGAUACAUAGCCGACCUGAGAGGGUGAUCGGCCACAUUGGGACUGAGACACGGCCCAAACUCCUACGGGAGGCAGCAGUAGGGAAUCUUCGGCAAUAGACGAAAGUCUGACCGAGCAACGCCGCGUGAGGGAAGAAGGUUUUCGGAUCGUAAAACUCUGUUGGUAGAGAAGAACGUUGGUGAGAGUGGAAAGCUCAUCAAGUGACGGUAACUACCCAGAAAGGGACGGCUAACUACGUG
rnacentral:rRNA from 1 species